AACUGAACUUUAGUGCACUGCCCUAUUCCAUCAUUACCAUGUUUCUCCAGGCCGUUUGGUAAUUUUCAGACUCUUCUUGUGACUCUUGAAAAUGACCUAGGAGACAAGGAUGCCUGGACUCCUGCCCUCUCCUAGGCUCUCAAUGCCAUCUCAUCUUCAUCCAACUCACCCUCUUCUGCCUGGCUCUUGUUUUAUUGAGUGCCAUCUGUCCACUUCGCCGUGCCCUCUGGAACCCUCUUUCAUUAUCAAUAUACUCCAUUAUCUACUCCACACCAAGUUUUGCUCUUUUCUGUAUGUUUCCUUAUCUUAGUUAAUGACAACACCAUCCUCCUCCUGCUCUCUAAGUCAUCAUCCCUGAUUACUCCCUCUCAAGUACCCUCCACUUCAAAUUAGUCACCAAUUCGUAUGAAUUCUAGUUCUGAACUGUCUCACAAAUCUGACAUCAUCAUCUCUCCUCUAGGCUGUUAAAAUAACUCCUUGAACACCCACCUUUGAAUAUAGUCUGUACUUUAAAAAGUUUUCUGAAUGCAGUGCUUAUUAGUUUUAAUCUUUCCCAAAUGUCUGUGCCGUCAUUCUUGGCUUCACCCCUGCUUGUUUCUAUUCUUCCUGGCUUUAAUCUCACAUUUGGAUAAAGAUAUUUGAGAUGUUUUUCUAUGCAAUGUUUAUAGUGGGCUGUCUUUUGAAAGACCAACAGUGAUAGCCUUAAGAAUGCAUUUCAAUUAAUGGAAGGAGAAGAAACUCUGAAGUGUAUUGGAUGAGGGACGAACUGGACUGUUAACGUUUCAGCUGAAGAAUUUACAAGGAAGGCAUAAGUGGAAUACAGAACAGUGAAGCUUUAUUCAAGAUAAUGUUAUACUCAUGAAUCACGCCACCUAAUACCUGCACUGCUUAGACAUGCAGAACAUAAAGCGUCUUCUCAAGAUAUCUCAGUAAAAGAUAUCUCUUCUUAUAUACAAAAGUGGAACUUGUUUUGUGCAAUCACUUCUUGGUACAGUUACAAUAGAAAAUUCUCAGAUGUACUCCACUACUUUAAAUAGAUUCCUGCAUCAUUGAAAAAAAAUUUCCAAGUCAACAUAGUCUUAAAACCUAGUCAAUCUUUUCUUUAACAUCUUGAAUGAAUAAAAGCUCACUCCCCUUAUUACUACUU